CAGUAGCCGCGGUAAUACGGAGGGGGCUAGCGUUGUUCGGAAUUACUGGGCGUAAAGCGCACGUAGGCGGCUUGGUAAGUUAGAGGUGAAAGCCCGGGGCUCAACUCCGGAAUUGCCUUUAAGACUGCCGAGCUAGUAGGUGAGAGAGGUAAGUGGAAUUCCGAGUGUAGAGGUGAAAUUCGUAGAUAUUCGGAAGAACACCAGUGGCGAAGGCGGCUUACUGGCUCAUUACUGACGCUGAGGUGCGAAAGCGUGGGGAGCAAACAGGAUUAGAUACCCGCGUAGUCCCUGUCUCUUAUAC
rnacentral:rRNA from 1 species